rnacentral:rRNA from 1 species
UAGGUAGCUUAACCUUCGGGAGGGCGCUUACCACUUUGUGACUCAUGACUGGGGUGAAGUCGUAACAAGGUAACCGUAGGGGAACCUGCGGUUGGAUCACCUCCUUACCUUAAAGAAGC